GUACCGCACAAACGUUAUUCGGAAUCACUGGGCUUAAAGGGUGCGUAGGCGGCUUGGAAGGUGGGGUGUGAAAUCCCUCGGCUCAACCGAGGAACUGCGCUCCAAACCGCCAGGCUUGAGGGAGGCAGGGGUGAGCGGAACUGAUGGUGGAGCGGUGAAAUGCGUUGAUAUCAUCAGGAACACCAGUGGCGAAGGCGGCUCACUGGGCCUCUUCUGACGCUGAGGCACGAAAGCUAGGGGUAGCGAACGGGAUUAGAUACCCCGGUAGUCCUAGCUGUAAACGAUGAGCACUGGAUCGAGGGGGCCUCCACCACCCUCUCGGUCGUAGCGAAAGUGUUAAGUGCUCCGCCUGGGAGUAUGGUCGCAAGGCUG
rnacentral:rRNA from 1 species